UCGGGGCUUGGGGCCGGCGAGAGCGGGUCCCGCGGCCCGGGCGCUGCGCUGGGCCUCCGGGAGCCGAGCCUGGGGAAGUCCCCGCGGCGCCGGCAGGCGAGCCUCGUCCUGCCCGGAGCAUCUGGCUAGGCAGCACGGUCUUUCUCUGAGUUUUAGAAAGGGAAGGCAAGGUGGCCCGAGGUCUGCCGGCGGGUUCCCGGCCUGAAGAGCCGGUGCUGGCGCGCUGCGGGCCGGCCGGCCUCCGGCCUCCUGCGUUUGCCAUCACCGACGCGCCCUUGGGCCUCUCCCCCCGCCCGGUCCCACGUGCCGCGCACAGGCUCUCGGGGGCCAACACGUGCCUAUUAAUGCCUUGACGAUUAAUAAGUCAAGCAACAGCAGGGGAAAAGGCAAACCAACGAACGCGUUCCUGUGGUAAAUAUUAGCUGUGUAGCUACCAAAGGCAAGGAGACGUUAAAGCGACUUGCCAGGGUUGCCCCUGGUGGUCAGUUCUGUGGGAGUCGGCACCGGGGAGGCAGACCCUCAGGGAUGUAUAGCUCAAGCGAAAAGGCAGCAGAGACACGGCUGCAGUUUCUGGCGUGGAGCAGAAGGUCCAAUUGCAGAUCUCCGUGUGGGGUCUGCGAAGCCAGCGUGCUUGCUUGGAUUUGAUUUGCAAUGCACAGCGAGCACCUAACAUCUUCAGGAAUUAAAUUAACAAGGGGUUUCAUUCCUCUCACACGCAUACCCAGGAUUAAACUGGAAUCGGUGCAAACAAUUCGCGAAGUUCCCCGCUGUUUAUGUGAGGAGCAGAACAUUUCAUACAUGUUUAAUAGGACUGGUAAAAUUAAACUACGUUGAACGGUACAUCUGCUUGGCCUUAAGUGAGAGUGCUGCCAUCAAGUUCACUGAGCAGUGAAAUCAGCCUCGUAAAAGCUUUCUAGGUACAAGCGCAUCUGGGGACUCGCCGACAAUUGCACCUUUGUCAAACAGCUAGCCGGCGAGGGGAGCGAGACGGCUGCAGGAGAGGGGUUCGAGCGCAGUCACCUUCUGAGGCAUAUUAAUUUUACGUUCAUAAUGACACCGGUAUCGCUCCUCGCUCAAAAUCGGUUUAUAGGCGCGCUCGCAGGGGGUCCUUCAGAGCUGCUCUGGGGCAGUUCCCCGCCGCAUCCCUCCCUCUCAGGGUCACGCUGCUCACCUGGGCUGCCACCCCGGGGCCGGGAAGCGGCCGCAGCCCCGCCGGCGGUCCCGGGGAGGGCGGCUGAGGGUGCCCGGGCGGCGGCAGCCUGCAGGUGGGGCUCUGGCAGCACGAACCGGCUGCUCCUCCCCAAAACUCCCUCCGCCCGCCGGCCUCCUCCUCUGUGCCUUCUGCCGGGGUAGGCGGCGAGGCUCGGCUGCGGUUCGCGGCGCCGGCUCCCCAGCUUUUUCACUGCCAGGGCGCUUCUGACACGCAGCUGCAGCCCCUGGCCGGGGACUCGCUCCUUCCACCCCCAGGACACUCGGGUCGUUCCCCCUCCGGCGGGCAGAGCGGGCCCCACGGCCACACGCCGUGCUCAGCCCCGCUGCAGCUGGCCUUCCCCUCCGGAGCAGCCUCCUGCCGCUUUGCUGUGGCGACGAGACCCCGGCAACUUUCUCGUCUUCCUCCCCGAGGCCUGCUUUGAACAAGGACUUACUUAUUUCAAGAGGAUUUGCUUUAAAUUUUCAGAGAAAUAUAAUUUCUUUUAAAUCAAUAAAAAAAAAAGCUCUGAAGAAA